UACAGAGGUCUCAAGCGUUGUUCGGAUUCAUUGGGCGUAAAGGGUGCGUAGGCGGCGCGGUAAGUCGGGUGUGAAAUUUCGAGGCUUAACUUCGAAACUGCAUUCGAUACUGCCGUGCUUGAGGACUGGAGAGGAGACUGGAAUUUACGGUGUAGCGGUGAAAUGCGUAGAUAUCGUAAGGAAGACCAGUGGCGAAGGCGGGUCUCUGGGCCACUACUGACGCUGAGACGCGAAAGCGUGGGGAGCGAACAGG
rnacentral:rRNA from 1 species